UUAAAAUUGAAUGGCGAUUGUCGGUAUAGUCUCUUUUUCCAAAAAUCUUGUUUGUUUUUGCCAAUCUAAUAAGAAAGUGACUAGACCGAACACUCGUGCUAUAAUUUUAAAA
rfam:Drosophila willistoni strain TSC#14030-0811.24 scf2_1100000004514 genomic scaffold, whole genome shotgun sequence.